UACCAGACAGGCCUGCAUUUAGCCUGUAUUCUCUAGCAACAUGUCAGCACUGGGCUAGCUACAAGGGAACAGCAGUGGUACUUUCCGAUUUCCAGGAGCAAGUAUGUGGCUAACUUCCCAGUUAUUGAACCCUGAAUGCCGAUAAGAAGGCUGACAGCAUCAGACUAGAGAGACCGUUAGACUACAGUGUGAGCUGUCUCGGGACACUCUCAGAUAUGAACAACUUCCAACCAAUCAGGGGGGAGAAAAAAAGGAACCAUGUAGUCUCCUGCCUGGCAGUAUUUGCAAGCGCUGAACAGAGGAAUACUUUUCCAGUUAGAAUGUUCUGGACUGAAGAUGAGGUAUCAAGAAUGUGUCUUUUCGUCUUUUGUGAUCUUCAGCGGCUGCUGCUUCUUCACUAUUUGCUGCUAUAAAGAGGGCCUGAAUGGGACCCGCUUUGAAGCUUGAAGCUGUUUGACCUGUGGCCUGAAGUAGAGAUUUGAGUGUCCACCCUCCAGAGUUCUCUCCUGAUUAAAAGGGAACAACAAAAUUCUAUGAAGGAGAUGACACCAUCCUGCUCUCUGAACAGAAGAAAGGUGAAAAUAGGAAGCAUCUCGAGUCAAGCCCACCCACAAGAGGAAUACAACACAAU